UACGUAGGGUGCGAGCGUUGUCCGGAAUUACUGGGCGUAAAGAGCUCGUAGGUGGUUUGUCGCGUCGACUGUGAAAUCCCGCGGCUCAACCGCGGGUCUGCAGUCGAUACGGGCAGGCUAGAGUUCGGUAGGGGAGACUGGAAUUCCUGGUGUAGCGGUGAAAUGCGUAGAGAUCGGGAAGAACAUCGGUGGCGAAAGCGCUCUACUGGACCGCAACUGACACUCAGGGACGAAAGCUAGGGGAGCGAAUGGG
rnacentral:rRNA from 1 species